ACGACUACAUAUCAGGCAUAUCAAUAAGCGGAGGAAAAGAAACUAACUAGGAUUCCCUCAGUAACGGCGAGUGAAGCGGGAAGAGCUCAAAUUUGAAAUCUUAAAGGUUUACCUUGACGAAUUGUAGUUUAAAGAAGUGUUUUCUGUUGAAGUUUCGGUAAAAGUUCUUUGGAAUAGGACAUCAUAGAGGGUGAGAAUCCCGUAUUUGACCGUUACUUUACCAGCUGUGUGAUACACUUUCAAAGAGUCGGAUUGUUUGGGAAUGCAGUCCAAAAUGGGUGGUAAAUUUCAUCUAAAGCUAAAUAUUGGCGAGAGACCGAUAGCGAACAAGUACCGUGAGGGAAAGAUGAAAAGAACUUUGAAAAGAGAGUUAAACAGUACGUGAAAUUGUCAAAAGGGAAGCGUUUGACACCAGUGUUGUUUUCUCGAAAAUCAAUUAAAAAGUAUGGGAUUUUGUAUUGUUAAGACCUUAUCAGCUUACGGUACUUUUUUCUUAUUCUUUUUAAUGCACUUUUCGUUUAACAAGUCAACAUCAAUUUCUUUUGUUGUAAAAGGUCAUUGGAAGGUGGCUUUCACUUCGGUGAAAGUGUUUAUAGCCUUUGGCUUCUGCAAUCGGAGAGAUUGAGGUCUGCAGCGUAGAUCCUUCGGGGUUAGAUACGUAGAUGCUAAGUUAUAGUUUUUCAUAGACAACUUGUCGACUAUGAUUAAUCAUGUAGCUUACUCGUUUGCGCUAUUUUACCUACGCUUAGGAUGUUGAAUCUGUGCGAGACUAC
rnacentral:rRNA from 1 species